GACAUCCUCUUCCAGGUGCAGGUGAUCAGCUCCAGAGGUCACUUACUCUCCAUUUCCCUGCCAGAGAACAUCAUUUCUUCAGAAGUGCUGGCAGAGCAUUCAGUUGCCCAUACUUCAGAGAUACUUUAGGCAAGCUGUGCUUUCUGGUCAUUUUUAAAGCUUAAUCCAUCCUUUUGUGAUCUUCGCCAUGGGAAAGAUGAAACCAGAUGAUUGCCUGGGUGCAAGCAGGGAGCAGCAAAGACCCUUGAUCAUCUCAACAAUCUCAACAAAAUGAGGCAUGACUCAAUUUUGCUGUGUUCAUCUUUUGUCUCUAUACUGCCUUCAUUAAUUGUGUUUCUUGCUGUUUUUUCUCCCUUCUCCCUUCUUUGCAAGGUGAGAUACAGUGGAUGUCUUAUGCUGCCUCUGAACUGUGAAGCAUGUUUCAUUAACCCUGUUCUGUCAUGGAUCAGAUGUGUGGAACUGAGUUUUGGUGACUGGGACUGUUUGAGGACUUCGGAGGGCUGAUUUUGCUGUCUUGCUCCCUCAGUCAGAACAGGGACUGUUCAGCCUAGAGAAGUCUUGGUAGACAUCUUAUCAUUGUCUAUAAACACCUGAAGGGAAGGUACAAAGGUGAUGGAACCAGGCUCUUUUCAGUGAUACCCAGUGACAAAGCAAGAGGCAAUGGGCACAAACUGGAACACAGGAGGUUCUGUCUUAAUAUCAGGAAGCACUUCUUUACUGUGCAGGUGAUGGUCACUGGAACCAAUAACCUAGAGAGGCUAUGAAGUCUUCCUCCUUGGAGAUCAUCAGAAGCUUCCUGGAUGUGGUCCUGGGCAACCUGCUAUAGGUGGUCCUGCUUGAGCAGGGGGGUUAGACCAGAUGGCUUCCAGAGGUCCUGUCCAACAUCAACCAUCUGUGAUUUUAUGAUUUCAUUCCUAUUUUUACCGUAAAUAUUGUUGGCAAUUCAAGUAGCUACCUUUGAGACAUAAAUGAGACAUUUCUCCUAUUUUCUCCUAGAGCUGAUAAACAGCUGUUUACUUUUUCCCCCUUCUGCCUGGCAUCCAGGGAAUCCUAAAUAGGGCUUUAAGUUACGAAUAUCUUUUGGUUGAAUUUGUCUGGUUGCUAGACUUCUAAACCGUUGAAUUGCUUGUCUGUUGCACAGGAAAGAGGUGCCUGUUUGACUUGUGCAGCUUUGUUUCAACAGAAGUGGUGAAACAUAAACAGGGUUUUCAGAAUAAAGUUCCUUUUGCCUUGCUGUAAGCUGGAUACUGUUUUUUCAG